CGGGUGGUAAUGCCGGAUGUUCCACAUGAUCGCAUGUGAUUGUGGGAAAGAUUCUAUCGGCGUGGGAUGGGGUCGCGUCCUAUCAGCUUGUUGGUGAGGUAACGGCUCACCAAGGCUUCGACGGGUAGCCGGCCUGAGAGGGCGACCGGCCACAUUGGGACUGAGAUACGGCCCAGACUCCUACGGGAGGCAGCAGUGGGGAAUAUUGCACAAUGGGCGCAAGCCUGAUGCAGCGACGCCGCGUGAGGGAUGGAGGCCUUCGGGUUGUAAACCUCUUUUGUUUGGGAGCAAGCCUUCGGGUGAGUGUACCUUUCGAAUAAGCGCCGGCUAACUACGUGCCAGCAGCCGCGGUAAUACGUAGGGCGCAAGCGUUAUCCGGAUUUAUUGGGCGUAAAGGGCUCGUAGGCGGCUCGUCGCGUCCGGUGUGAAAGUCCAUCGCUUAACGGUGGAUCUGCGCCGGGUACGGGCGGGCUGGAGUGCGGUAGGGGAGACUGGAAUUCCCGGUGUAACGGUGGAAUGUGUAGAUAUCGGAAAGAACACC
rnacentral:rRNA from 1 species